GGCUGGUCCUGAUUGUUCAUUCAGUUACAGAUCAAACUCCUUGUUCUACUCUUUUCCCUCCUUCUCACUACUGCACUUGACUAGUCAAAA
ensembl:misc_RNA Y_RNA Y RNA